rnacentral:rRNA from 1 species
AACGAACGCUGGCGGCAGGCUUAACACAUGCAAGUCGAGCGCCCCGCAAGGGGAGCGGCAGACGGGUGAGUAACGCGUGGGAACGUACCCUUUGCUACGGAAUAGCUCCGGGAAACUGGAAUUAAUACCGUAUGUGCCCUACGGGGGAAAGAUUUAUCGGCAAAGGAUCGGCCCGCGUUGGAUUAGCUAGUUGGUGGGGUAAUGGCCUACCAAGGCGACGAUCCAUAGCUGGUCUGAGAGGAUGAUCAGCCACGUUGGGACUGAGACACGGCCCAAACUCCUACGGGAGGCAGCAGUGGGGAAUAUUGGACAAUGGGCGCAAGCCUGAUCCAGCCAUGCCGCGUGAGUGAUGAAGGCCUUAGGGUUGUAAAGCUCUUUCACCGAUGAAGAUAAUGACGGUAGUCGGAGAAGAAGCCCCGGCUAACUUCGUGCCAGCCGCCGCGGUAACAC